AAACUUUUUGACUUCUGGCUCUCAGAAGUUUGCAGUUUUUUUCUAGAAAAUGUUUGACUUUUGAAACUUAGAAAUUUUCACGUCUUCGUCUGGAAAAUUUCUGAGGUUAAUCUAAAUUUUUUUGUCUAGCAAAGUAUCAACCUUUGCUAAUAAGAACAAUCCUAGUUUAAGAUUUCAGAGAUCAAAGUCAAAAUUUGAUCAUUUUUUGUCAGACGUGUUCUCCUGUUUGCUUUCUGCCUACAAUGGGCCUAAUACGCCGUUGUAGAUGUAAUAUGAGGUCAUGACUGGAAUGUUAAUUUUACCACUGAAGUCCAUCAGCGGACACACAGACAUGCAGAGUUUGUGCCAACCUCACCGAAACCAGAACAAUACACAAAAUCAAACCUGCAUUCCUCUGCAAGCCAGUGGGUGUUUUAUUUCAUCGUUUCUGACCACACUAGCUGUAAAAAAUGUUUUAAAAAAAGAGAUUAAACUGACCAACUGUAGAGGUUUGAAUAGCAGCAGCGCAGCUCCAAGUCGGUAGGAGACAAAGGCGGCGGCGGCGUGGGAGAAGAGGCCGCGGCUCGCAGAUCAAGAGGCGUGUUUGAGUAUCUUAUCGCGGCUGUCGCCAGCUCAACCUGGCUCCGCCGGCUGGGUGCGGGAUUAGGAAGGCCCACAGCGCCUGAUUAUUUGGAUGCUGGCUAGACUGGCUGGAGCCGGGGCCCACUGCACCGGGGGCCGGAUCGUCUUUUCCUCCAGGUGUGAUGCCUCACGCUGAUUCCCCCCACAUGCUGCAGCGGCCUAAUCCAAACACAGGGGAUGGUGACAGCGCUAGGCCUCCGCCAGCCACCCACACCGCCGCAGCGUCUCAUCACAACACUUCCUCCUUCGACUCGGCGUAACGAACGAACGCCACUGAGGCUGGAGCCCAUCAGCUGUUGCUUUAGGAACUGAAUCGCGUCUAAACUGGUGGUUUUCUAGGCCUGGUCAGUUUAAGACAACCAGAGGCAACAGCAGAGUACCCAAACAUUAUACUGAGGUUUGUACAGACUGACGUGGCUCCUGCCAGUGAGCGAGUCGACUGUCAUAACUUCUCCCUAUGAGUCGACGCCAUGUAAAUGAUUUCCUGAUGUUUGAACCAAAGCUGCUGUGAUUAGACGCACUGGAUCAAGGCUUCAGCCCGGACAGAUUGGGAAGCCGUUAUGGCGGCACAGAAGUUGAGGGAGAAGCUAUUUAUCCCAGACGGAUCAGGAGGUGUGUGACGGAGGUGUGGACGGUUGCUGCAGGUCAGUGACGUUGGCAGGCGCCAGGCAGGCCGGCCCACAUGGCUCGGGGACUGUGGGACUACAGACAGAUGGCACCUGGGUCUGUUCUGGUGUUGGGAGCCCCACCGGAGGGGCCUCUGGCUCGGUGGGAGAGGUGUUGGAGGCGGCCCGGCCCCGCUGCGCUCCUUCCUUCUCCCUCUGCGGGGCGCCGGGCACAGCGUGUACCGCUGGCAAGCCGGGUCCGACAAAAAGCCGCCAUGCACAGCCAACGGGUGUGUGAACGGGGCAGGGGGGCGGCCGCGUCAUGCUGCACACACACGUGCAGCAAGCAGAAAGCUGCGCAUGCAAGUGCUCAGGUCUCCGCCAGGCGGGCUCCUGCAGGGGUCGACACAUGUUCAGAGGACGCUGCAGAGGCGACGGCGAGCGUGUGCAGACGCUGAUCGCCCUCUCAGGUUCCUGCUGUGAGCCUGAGCAGCAGUACGGAAGCCUGACUGGGUCAUCUGGUCCUGACAGUCC